AUACGGGGUUAUUAGAACUCCACUAACCUGGGGAGGUUAGGCAUCCAAAUGGGUAGCAGCGGCACCCUUCUGGAGAGACGGUCCAGAGGCCGGGUUGUCAGACCCGGUCGGGAGCCGUUUC
rnacentral:ncRNA from 1 species